UUGUCUUUAACUGAUAGAUGCAAUGCUAGGGUUCUUAAAAAAAAUCAUAUUUGUUUAAAAAAAAAAUUAUUUUAAUUAUGAAAAAUGUAGGACCUACAAUGCCUAUUUAUAUUCUCUAUUCCUAAUACCACCUGUAGAUGGCGCCAUAGCUUUUGGACAUUCUUGGGUUUCUCUGCAGCUAAAGAAUGGACUUCAACAAUUUAUUUAUUUAUUUUUGUGUGUAAAUUGAUGCAAACCAAGGAUGACAAUGUUAUACAUGUAUACACGGAAAAACAUAAAAUAAAAAAUAUUUGGAAGAUUUAUGACGUUGAUGACCGUUGAAACGCACGUCAUCACGUCAGGCCAGCUGUGAGGGAGGGAAGUCGAAGCAGCUCGAGAAAGUUGGCGCUUUUAUCAGAUCGUUUGUUUGGAGUCUCUGUUUGUUCCAACCAUUGUGUUCCUUCAUGCUCCUCCAGAGACUACUAUCCGGAUUGUCCGUGCCAGUGUUGUGACUCUUGCAUCUUUCACCGUGUAAUGUUGUCCGGGGCCCGAGGAGUUCUUACAAACAGAUUGAUGGCAACAAUGUACAUGGAUGGUUCAGGGGUGAAGAAGGCCUUUAAAAAACACGGCUAUGUUGUGUUAUAAUAGGUGGCAAUUGCAUCAGAGGGAGAAGACUUCACAGUGCCUCCCUAUACAUGGAUGUCAGCUGACGUCAAUCACUUGUCUUCCGCCAUUUUGAGGACCUGAAGUGGUCGCAAAAGAACUAGAAGCUAUGCCUUCAAUAUGCUGUGAGCAUCAAAAUCGCUAUUUUAACAACACUAAGAAGGCUCAACACAACAUGAUAUUUUGCUCGAAGUAUCGCCUAUGUCUCUACACGUGAACUCGAGCAUUGAGAACAUUGUUUGUGAACACAGAGUUAACUAAAAAGAAGGUUUUGAACAACUCACUUUGGAUGAUUUGGCGUCCGCUCGCCGCUUUCUUCCCAGUCAAGAUGUAUCGAUCUCCAAUUGCGACGUAAGGAGGGAGGAGAGUAAAGAUGAUAUCUCCUAAAGCAUAGUUCCUUAAAAAUGCACGGAUAAGUCGUUGUUUUGUUGCAAGUGAAAAACAAUAUUGACCUUCUAGUUGAAAAAGGAGCCUUAUAUGAUAUUCAUUCAUUCGCAUUCGGAAAUCGAUUAUUUACGUCUGGCAGAGAUGACGAGCGGACACCAUAACAGCCAAAGUCAGUUGUACAAAACCUUUCUUUUUAGUAAACUCUGUGUACAAAAACAAUGUUCUCAAUGCCCGCGUUCAUGUGUAGAGAUCCAGGUGAUACUUCAAGCAAAGUUUCAUGUUGUGUCGCGCCUUCUUAUGUUGUAAAAUAGUGGUAUUUCGGUAGCAGCGGACAGCGGCUGGAAGAACGCAUCAGGGAUCGAGAAGGCAUAACACCCUAACCAAGAUAUAUUUUUUUAAAGUAGCGUUUAUUUUCAUGACAGUCAAGAUGCGACAUGUUGUCUUUCGUAGCUUUUUACUGUAUCCGUAAGAAUCAUAGACAGUAAAAGAUAAGAAAUCCGUAAGUCGUAGCAAGGUAGCCAAUGCUUGUCAAUAGCCUACUGGUACUCGGUAGGUCCUCAAGAUGGCGGCAUGACGUAAAAGGUCACAUGACUGAAAUCUAUCUAUACUGCAGGGACAACCUUGCAGUCAUAUG